UACGAAGGGGGCUAGCGUUGCUCGGAAUUAUUGGGCGUAAAGGGUUGGUAGGUGGUCUUGUUUUGUCUAGGGUGAAAUCCCAUGGCUUAACUGUGGAAGUGCCCUAGAAACGGCAAGACUAGAGUCCUAGAGGGGUUUGUGGAAUUCCCGGUGUAGCGGUGAAAUGCGUAGAGAUCGGGAGGAACACCAGCGGCGAAGGCGACACGCUGGGCCGUACCUGACACUGAUGCGCGACAGCAUGGGGAGCAAACAGG
rnacentral:rRNA from 1 species